UGAUUUUAUCGCUUUUUAUUUUUUUUUGUUGCAUUUUCAUUGUUACAGUUUUGUUUUUAGAGGAAAAAUGGUCAUUUUGAACUGGACGAAGUAAGAAAUGGUGGUCGAGAAGUUGAUGAUGCUCCUCUCGAUGAUUUAGAAGAUGAUGAUGAAGAACCGUCAUCGAAGAAACUGAUGAAUCGUGACGAGAAAGUGACGCUCGUAGGGUCAAAUGGUCCAACGGUAAUUCGCCCUUCAUCUUGGAUCGGAAAUUUUCGAUAUCAACAAAGUUUCCUGAAAAGCUGAAAGAUCAGAGUUUUACCCAAUAUUGGUAAAGAUCCUGAUUGAUUUGAACAAGACAAAUGAAGAAAUAGUUAAUUUUCAACUUAAAUUGACAAACAAUCAAGAAAAAUCAAUGGGUUUCAAUGUUUUCUUCUAAAUAAUUAAUUUUUCAUUAGAAUAAAAAUGUAUUAAUUAACAAAAGACACAAACAAUUAGCAAAAAAAGAGAAUCGUUUUUGAGUUUAUUGUUUAUCGCUAAAAAGAAAAUGCAAUUUAGAUGAUUAAUUAAUCAUCAUGUUGGUGAGCUCUAUUGAAAUCUUGUUAAUCCCAACUGUUCAUUUCCAUAAUUAAUCCUAAUAAAAAAACUUGUAAUUUAGUGAACAACUUGGUCUCCGGUGGUUCAUCGUUUAUCGUUUCCAUUUUGAAGGAUUUUAUGGGAAUUAUUGUGUUCGGUCUCUGCGAAGUCAAGA